rnacentral:rRNA from 1 species
UACGGAGACUGCAAGCGUUACUCGGAAUCACUGGGCGUAAAGGGUGCGUAGGCGGAUGGGUGUGACUGACGUGAAAUCCCAAGGCUCAACCUUGGACCUGCGUUGGUUCCUACCUAUCUCGAGUGUCGGAGAGGCAGGCGGAAUUCUCGGAGUAGCGGUGAAAUGCGUAGAUAUCGAGAAGAACACCGAAAGCGAAGGCAGCCUGCUGGACGACAACUGACGCUGAGGCACGAAAGCGCGGGUAGCAAAAGGG